rnacentral:lncRNA from 1 species
CUCAGCCUGUGGAGCCACCCAAGCUCGGCUAAAGAGACCAUUUCUCCAACCGUGUCUUCUAGUAGGGGGUUUCCUAGGAUUGGGGGGGGUGUUGUGAGGGGCGGCUGUCUGCUUGUGACUACUUCCUAGAAGAAAGCACCGAGAGCUCCAGGAAAGCAGGGCCCUUACCCUCCUGUGAUCUGACCCCAAGCCGAUGUGGUUUGCAUCUGGGAAACUCAAUCCCCAGUCAGCCUCUUGGGAGUGGACAUGGGACCUGUUGUGUUGACGCUGCUAAUGUAUAUGGAUGUUUUGCCUAUAUGUAUGCCUAUGCACCAUGUAUAUGCAGUGCCUGCAGAGGCCAGAAGAGGGCACCAGAUCCCCU